AGUUCGGAUCGGAGUCUGCAACUCGACUCCGUGAAGCUGGAUUCGCUAGUAAUCGCGCAUCAGCCAUGGCGCGGUGAAUACGUUCCCGGGCCUUGUACACACCGCCCGUCAAGCCAUGGGAGCCGGGGGUACCUGAAGUCCGUAACCGCGAGGAUCGGCCUAGGGUAAAACUGGUGACUGGGGCUAAGUCGUAACAAGGUACC
rnacentral:rRNA from 1 species